rnacentral:rRNA from 1 species
UUGAACGCUGGCGGCAGGCCUAACAUAUGCAAGUCGAACGGUAACAGGAAGCAGCUUGCUGCUUUGCUGACGAGUGGCGGACGGGUGAGUAAUGUCUGGGAAACUGCCCGAUGGAGGGGGAUAACUACUGGAAACGGUAGCUAAUACCGCAUAACGUCGCAAGACCAAAGAGGGGGACCUUAGGGCCUCUUGCCAUCGGAUGUGCCCAGAUGGGAUUAGCUAGUAGGUGGGGUAACGGCUCACCUAGGCGACGAUCCCUAGCUGGUCUGAGAGGAUGACCAGCCACACUGGAACUGAGACACGGUCCAGACUCCUACGGGAGGCAGCAGUGGGGAAUAUUGCACAAUGGGCGCAAGCCUGAUGCAGCCAUGCCGCGUGUAUGAAGAAGGCCUUCGGGUUGUAAAGUACUUUCAGCGGGGAGGAAGGGAGUAAAGUUAAUACCUUUGCUCAUUGACGUUACCCGCAGAAGAAGCACCGGCUAACUCCGUG